rnacentral:lncRNA from 1 species
CCUGACCAUGACAAUCCUGUAUGGAAAGAACAUGUACCUGUACACUGUAAAAAAUUAUUUAGCAGUUUAGUUGUUUCAAUGAAUUUUUUUAUGUUGACACAACUUGCAGUUACUGAAUUUGUUCAUUCAACUAAAAAUUUUAAGUUUUCAGUGUCUCAACUAGUUUGAAAGUUGACUGAACUAGGUCAUUUGUCCUCAUAACUUAAAAAAAUGUGUUGACUCAAUUCAAUAGCAAUAUCACGUUCACAACAUCACUUAUCGCGAGAUCUCGUCAUUCUCGUGAAUGCUGUUGAAGAGAGAAGAAGGUCUAGCCAUUCUAGUCAGUUUCUCCUCAAAGUUUGGACAUUUGACUAGAAUACAACUUUGAUUCAGCACAGAAUUCAAUAAUCCUGUGGAUGGACCACAGCGAGUCCUUUUGCAGUUAUCCAUCAAAAUGCUUUGCAGACAUAAUGGAAAUGACAUUCACAUUGUAGAGCUUGGACGAAGUUCACACAGGCUCUGCGCAGGAAUUCAUCAAGGACAUGACUGCUGGGAUUACACUUGUGGAUGACCAAUCUGAGCACCAUCAGUCUGCAGUGAUGUGAUCCAGCCAUCCAGUGACAUUAAGGAUGUUGAGAAAGAAAUUGAAGAGGGCAUUCUGAUUGUAACUGAGGAGCAGCAAUGUGAUGUGCUUCCCAAGGAAUAACCAACAUUGGUCUCAUUUGGACAUCCUGUCAUCACUGACAUCUCCCAUGUCC